GGCUCAGGAUGAACGCUAGCUACAGGCUUAACACAUGCAGUCGAGGGGCAUCAGGAAGAAAGCUUGCUUUCUUUGCUGGCGACCGGCGCACGGGUGAGUAACACGUAUCCAACCUGCCCUUUACUCGGGGAUAGCCUUUCGAAAGAAAGAUUAAUACCCGAUAGCAUAAUGAUUCCGCAUGGUUUCAUUAUUAAAGGAUUCCGGUAAAGGAUGGGGAUGCGUUCCAUUAGGUUGUUGGUGAGGUAACGGCCCACCAAGCCUUCGAUGGAUAGGGGUUCUGAGAGGAAGGUCCCCCACAUUGGAACUGAGACACGGUCCAAACUCCUACGGGAGGCAGCAGUGAGGAAUAUUGGUCAAUGGGCGNUNNCCUGAACCAGCCAAGUAGCGUGAAGGAUGAAGGCUCUAUGGGUCGUAAACUUCUUUUAUAUAAGAAUAAAGUGCAGUAUGUAUACUGUUUUGUAUGUAUUAUAUGAAUAAGGAUCGGCUAACUCCGUGCCAGCAGCC
rnacentral:rRNA from 1 species